CAUCUCCAUCGAUCGAUUUGGUUAAGAAAUUAAUCAAAAAGAUGGGGACAUACAGGGGAAUUAUUCUGGUUCUUCUCAUAUCAAUGACAUUAUCGUUAGCUUCUAUUUGCGAGGGACGAAAGAGAAAGAGAAUUGAUUAUGGCAAUACGAUGCGAUUGUAUCCCAUGUAAUCGGAAGAAUAAAACCUUCAAAAAUUGCCGCCUAGGAUGACGAGCUAAUCGCUACCGCCUUGGUUGCGGGGAAAUCAAUCACUGUCAUCGCCCUAAUACCGACAUUAUCCUAAAGGAAUUUCGCAAAAUAGACCUAAGGAAAGCAUAUGACAAUGUGAAAUGGAAGUUUGUGAAAGAAAUACUUUACUGGCUGGAUUUUCCUUAUGGUUUUAUUAAACUGAUUAUGGAGUGUAUCACAACACCCCAAUACAUAAUUGCUAUAAAUGGUAGAGUAUAUGGAAGCAUACAAGGAAAAAGAGGGUUGAGAUAACGGGACCCCUUGUCCCCAUUGCUGUUUGUAAUAUGCACAGAGUGCUUCUCAAGAAUAACGAACUGGGUGGCCACUACGGAAGGGGAUUGGUACCUAUAGUGCUGAGGUUAAGCGGAUUUAGUACUUUUUCAGCCUCCUCGGGUCUGACCACAAUUGCCAGCAAAUCAAACAUAUUCUCAGCGAACAUGGAUGCAUAGGUUCUACAGGAUAUAUGUGAGAUGACUGGCUACACCACUGGCAAGGUGCCUUUUAAAUACCUAGGGGUACCUAUAUCAUCCAAAAGACUAUCAGCUACGGAUUGUGAGAUGUUAGUAUUGAUUUGCAGGGUACUCACUUCGGGAAGCAGAAAUCUCUCAUAUGCAGGGAAAACUCAAUUGAUAAACUCAGUUCUGAUGCACCUACAUACCUACUGGUCCACUAUUUUCUUAUUACCAAAAGGUGUCUUGAAGACUAUUCUAUCCAUAUGUAGAAGUUUUCUAUGGAGUGGUCGUGUAGUGUACACACAAAUAGAGCACCUUUGAUAGCAUCGGAGGUAGUAUGCUGAGACAAAAGAGAGGGAAGAUUAGGUAUUACUGAUUGCAUAGUGUGGAAUGAAGCUGCUAUUGCAAAAUAUGUGUGAAAUUUAGCUAACAAGCUAUGGGUUAAAUGGAUGGAUCAUGUGUAUCUAAAAGAUGAACACUGGAGAGAUUAUCAAGCACCAAAGGAUUGUAGUUGGUAUUGGAAAAAAAAUAUGCUCCAUAAAAUAGAAGUUUCUACAUGGGUAUGUGCACAAUGACUGGCUGAAACCAGGAGGUGCAUACAAUAUCAAGAGUGGAUAUAUGUGGAGGAGGGGUAGGUUACAAGAAUGUCCAUGGUGAAGGGGUGUAUGGAACGUGACAUAUAUUCCAAAGCACGACUUCAUCUGCUGACCGGUGAUGCAAGAAAGAGUGCAGAUAAGAACGAAACAAGUGCAGUGGGGUGUAUGCAAUACCAACACGUCUGAUAUGUGACGCAGAUCCUGCAACAAUAAAACACCUAUUCUUUGAUUGCCCAUCCUCUAAGAUGUGUCUAAAUGAAAUCUUGAUAUGGUUAGGGAGAGCACUGCAAGUGAGAGAUGUAAAAGGUGUUGUUUUCCAAUGUUUUCAGAUACAAGAAUUUGUAAUUUGAAACAAUAACUUCAACACUAGUUCUUCAACACUAGUUCAAGUUUAAAACAAGAACACUAUGAAGUA